rnacentral:rRNA from 1 species
GAUGAACGCUAGCGGGAGGCCUAACACAUGCAAGCCGAGCGGUAUUUGUUCUUCGGAACAGAGAGAGCGGCGCACGGGUGCGGAACACGUGUGCAACCUGCCUUUAUCUGGGGGAUAGCCUUUCGAAAGGAAGAUUAAUACCCCAUAAUAUAUUGAGUGGCAUCCUUUGAUAUUGAAAACUCCGGUGGAUAGAGAUGGGCACGCGCAAGAUUAGAUAGUUGGUGAGGUAACGGCUCACCAAGUCAAUGAUCUUUAGGGGGCCUGAGAGGGUGAUCCCCCACACUGGUACUGAGACACGGACCAGACUGCUACGGGAGGCAGCAGUGAGGAAUAUUGAACAAUGGGUUAGCGCCUGAUCCAGCCAUCCCGCGUGAAGGACGACGGCCCGAGGGGUUGUAAACUUCUUUUGUAUAGGGAUAAACCUACUCUCGUGAGAGUAGCUGAAGGUACUAGACGAAUAAGCACCGGCUAACUCCGUG